rnacentral:rRNA from 1 species
AGGUCUUGACAUACUCGUGCUAUUCCUAGAGAUAGGAAGUUCCUUCGGGACACGGGAUACAGGUGGUGCAUGGUUGUCGUCAGCUCGUGUCGUGAGAUGUUGGGUUAAGUCCCGCAACGAGCGCAACCCCUAUUGUUAGUUGCCAUCAUUAAGUUGGGCACUCUAGCGAGACUGCCGGUAAUAAACCGGAGGAAGGUGGGGAUGACGUCAAAUCAUCAUGCCCCUUAUGACCUGGGCUACACACGUGCUACAAUGGUUGGUACAACGAGUCGCAAGGCAGUGAUGUCAAGCUAAUCUCUUAAAGCCAAUCUCAGUUCGGAUUGUAGGCUGCAACUCGCCUACAUGAAGUCGGAAUCGCUAGUAAUCGCGGAUCAGCACGCCGCGGUGAAUACGUUCCCGGGCCUU